GGAUUAGAAACCCGGGUAGUCCACGCCGUAAACGAUGAUCACUAGACGUUAGUCGUGCUUGCAUGACUAGUGUCGUAGCUAACGCGUUAAGUGAUUCGCCUGGGAAGUACGGUCGCAAGAUUAAAACUCAAAGGAAUUGACGGGGGUCCGCACAAGCGGUGGAACAUGUGGUUUAAUUCGACACUACGCGAGGAACCUUACCUAGGCUUGACAUAUUUUUGACAGCUGUAGAAAUACAGUCUUCUCUACGUAAGUAGAGACAAUUUUACAGGUGCUGCAUGGCUGUCGUCAGCUCGUGUCGUGAGAUGUUGGGUUAAGUCCUUUAACGAGCGCAACUCCUGUCGUUAGUUGCAACUCCGUAAGGAGGCACUCUAUCGAGACUGCCUGGGAAACC
rnacentral:rRNA from 1 species